rnacentral:tRNA from 1 species
UCCAGGAUAGCCUAGUGGACAUGGCACCUGCCCGGUAAGCAGAAAGGUUGUGGGUUCGAUUCCCGCUCCUGGAC